AACAACAACCUACGUUGUCACCAGCACGAGUUCUCAACUUGACUUCUUCUCAACAUAUUAAAGCACCAUGAAGCUGUUCCUUGCUGUUCUCCUGGUCGCCAUGGCUUUUGUGGCGUUGGUCUCUUCGACGCCUGAGCCAGAACCGCAAUUCGGAUUUGGUGGUGGACGUGGAUUUGGUGGUGGACGAGGAUUUGGUGGUGGACGAGGAUUUGGCGGACGUGGAUUUGGUGGGCGUGGAUUUGGCGGACGCGGAUUCGGAGGACGUGGAUUUGGAUUCGGCAAAUAAUUUUCCGAUUCGAACUAACUAAUAUCUGGAGGACCAUUAAUUCUAAUUUCUUAUUUUUGCUCAUAUUUUGGAUUUCUUUGUAUGCAAAAGUAAGUUCUAAUUCCAAGAUAAAGUUCAUAAAUAUCAAAGUCAAAGAACGCUACGGGACAGAAUAUUUGAAAAUUUUCAUGAUAUUUUACACUUCAGAAAACGCUAAGCAAAAGCUGGUAGUUAAGGAAUGAUUAAUAAAUUUAAGGAUUAAGAUAAAUAUUAGCCGUUCAGCAAUGCAAUUGACUCCUGUGAUGAUAAAACUAUAAGAGGCGGCGUGCAACAGCGAGAACUGGUUUAUUGUUUAUCGAUUUCCUACGUGUUUUGUUUUCUGAUGGUGAAUAAAGCAAAUUAUAUUGAU